rnacentral:rRNA from 1 species
GACGAACGCUGGCGGCGUGCUUAACACAUGCAAGUCGAACGGUAAGGCUCCAGCUUGCUGGGGUACACGAGUGGCGAACGGGUGAGUAACACGUGGGUGACCUGCCCUGCACUUCGGGAUAAGCCUGGGAAACUGGGUCUAAUACCGGAUAGGACCGCACCGUGAGGGUGUGGUGGAAAGUUUUUUCGGUGUUGGAUGGGCCCGCGGCCUAUCAGCUUGUUGGUGGGGUAAUGGCCUACCAAGGCGGCGACGGGUAGCCGGCCUGAGAGGGUGGACGGCCACAUUGGGACUGAGACACGGCCCAGACUCCUACGUGAGGCAGCAGUGGGGAAUAUUGCACAAUGGGCGGAAGCCUGAUGCAGCGACGCCGCGUGGGGGAUGACGGCCUUCGGGUUGUAAACUCCUUUCUCCAUCGACGAAGGGUUUCUGACGGUAGAUGGAGAAGAAGCACCGGCUAACUACGUG